GCUCAAGCAAUGGUCAAAAAAUUUGAGGGGAUGUAUGACAUGGUCUGUGAAGGCUGGGUCCCUGGUUGCAGUGAUGAACAUAGCUUAAUUGAGGAGGUCUGUUUGGAUAUUCUGUUUGCAUUACAUCAGACCUUGUGACCCUGAAUCUGACAGCUGUAGACCCGGAGGAACCCAUGGUCCACGCCACACCCAUGGAGGCACUUGAGGAUCCCAUGGUCCACGCCACACCCACGGAGGCACUUGAGGAUCCCAU